rnacentral:rRNA from 1 species
GAGCGCAGCGAAAUGCGAUACGUGGUGCGAAUUGCAGAAUCCCGCGAACCAUCGAGUCUUUGAACGCAAGUUGCGCCCGAGGCCAAUCGGUCGAGGGCACGUCCGCCUGGGCGUCAAGCGUUGCGCCGCUCCGUGCCGAGUCCCCACCAUCCCGCCGAGGCGGGGGUGCCGGGCGAGGCUCGGAUGUGCAGAGUGGCCCGUCGUGCCCGUCGGCGCGGCGGGCUGAAGAGCGGGUUAUCGUCUCAUUGGGGCCACGAACAACGAGGGGUGGAUGCAAGCUGCCGCGGGCGAGGCCCGCGUUGUCUCGUGCCGGCCCGAGAGAAGAUCACACCCUUCGUGCGAUCCCAUCCCACGCGCCGCCACCCGUGCGGCGGCUUGGAAUGCGACCCCAGGACGGGCGAGACCACCCGCCGAGUUUAAGCAUAUCAAUAAGCGGAGGAGAAGAAACUUACGAGGAUUCCCCUAGUAACGGCGAGCGAACCGGGACAUGCCCAGCAUGGGAAUCGGGCCGCCCUGCGGCGGCUCGAAUUGUAG